rnacentral:tRNA from 1 species
GUCAGUAUGGCCGAGUGGUUAAGGCGCUACUUUCGAACGGCUUCUUUUAUGAUCCUUCCGUCAAGUAGUUCAUUCGUGAACCUAGGUUCGAGUCCUAGUGCUGACG